rnacentral:lncRNA from 1 species
AUGCAUGGAGCACAGUGGAUGGCGUACAGUGCCAGACAGAGCAGCAAGGUGGCAGCUUUGCUUACAGGUGAUGGAGCCCCUUGCUUUGGAAUGGCACCCACCACCAAUGGAGGUGCUCUUGUGUUCGUAAGCAGAGCAGAAUGCAUUUACAUUGGUAAAUAUCCCUUCCUGAAAUAUCAUUGCUCAUUCUUUCUUUUUCUUUCCUUUUUUUUUUUUUUAAACAUCAAUGUUUGCAGAGCCAUCAACCAUCCCAGAGCAAUCUGUCUUGCUUGUCUGUGCUCAGCUGUGAAAAUGCAUCUUGAUCUCCUUCUUAUUCCCCAAAGUCAUGACUCUAGCAUAAAAGCAGACCUUUCGUACUAAUUGCCCUGGUAUUUUCUUGUCCCUAAAGCACAUGAUGCCCAGACCACAGUCUCAAAAAGAAAAAUAGUAUUGAAUAUUUCAGUUAAAUGCAAAAUUAUGCUUUCCAUUCUUCUCCCAGCUAAGGUAGGACAAGGAUUUCUUUUUUUCUCUUCUUUUCUUUUCUUUUCUCUUCUUUUCUUUCUUUCUUUUCUUUUUCUUUUGUCUUUUUAGGGCUGCACCUGCAGCAUAUAGAGGUUCCCAGGCUAGGGGUCAAAUCAGAGCUAUAGCUACCAGCCUACACCACAGCCACAGUAACGCAGGAUCCGACCUGCAUCUACAACCUACACUGCAACUCAGCAAUGCCAGAUCCUUAGUCCACUGAGCGAAGCCAGGGUUUGAACCCGAGUCCUCAUGCACUAGUUGGGUUUGUUACCGUUGAGCCACAACAGGAACUCCAGGACUAGGAUUUCUGAAAGGCCAGGGUAUCUAGAAGUCUUCUAAUAACUCAGAGCAGAGGAAACACAGUGCUUUUAUUUCCUUUGUUCUAACUAAAGGAUGCAGUCGAAUUCAUGUUUUCCACUUCCAUAUUUUCAAAAUAUAUUCUCCUUGGGAUACGGGUACUGUCUUAUAUUUAGAAUAUUUUUUCUUGGAGUUCAUAAGUUGCAAUUGAUUAAUAAUACCCUCUUUGGUCAGCUUCUGAGAUGAGCUAGAUUUUUUUAUGCUCCAAUCUUCGUGUACUGUGUAUAAUUGCUCAGUAGUUUAAGAUCACUUUUUCUUGCCCCAUUAAAACGUUAGAAAACAAACAAAUCUAACUGAAUGGUUUUCCCUAAGCUAUUUAUACUAAGUUAAUAAUCUAUUAAUAAUAUGUAACGGGAGUUAACACUGAAAUAGAAAAACACACAUUAUUUUGACAAAUUACCCUCAGGGUCUGAUAAGCCUUAACUAAUUAUUUAUGUACGGGAAAGCGCAAUCUGGUAAACAAAUACACUGAGCCUUGUGAAACAGUGCUCAAAUUUGGUCC